GAGCCGGUAGCUCAGUUGGUAGAGCAACGGACUUUUAAUCCGUAGGUCGUGGGUUCGACCCCCACCCGGCUCA
rnacentral:tRNA from 1 species